UGCCAUCUGAAGCAAGAAACGGAAGCCAAACCAAAAUAAUAAGCAAUGGCACCUCUCCUCCUCUUGCCAACCAUCCUGCUACUGUCCUCACCAUAUGUGCAAGCUCAACAGAACAUCACCCUGGGCUCCUCCUUAACGCCCCAAGGGCCAAACAGCUUUUGGCUCUCCCCGUCUGGACACUUCGCGUUUGGCUUCUGGCCCAUCGAGGGCAACACCUCCUCCUACUUGCUUGCCGUCUGGUUCAACAAGAUCAGCGACAAGACCGUGGCUUGGCAUGCCAAGACUACUCAUCCAGAUACAGCGUUGGUACAAGUUUCAUCCGGUUCAUGCCUCCAGCUAACGUCCAAUGGAGCACCCUCGCUCCAGGACCCGAUUGGCACAGAGGUAUGGAGUCCAGAACUUCUAGGUGCAGCCUACGCUGCUGUUCUUGAUACAGGAAACUUCGUACUGGCUGCUGCAGAUGGCUCUACCAAGUGGGGGACCUUCGAUAACCCAGCAGAUACCAUCCUUCCCAGUCAGGUUCUCACUCCGGGAACGAAGCUCCACAGCCGGAUCAUCGCCACAAAUUACUCCAAUGGCCGGUUCAUCCUUAACCUGCAAAAUAAUGGUGUUUUCUUUUAUACUGUUUCUAUGCCAUCCGGUCAUCAACAUGAACUUAAUUGGUCCAUGCCUGGGAACACCACAAAUUUGGUGUUCAGUGAGACUGGAGUGCUAUAUAUCACCUGGGAUGAUGGAAGACAAACAAAAAUCACAUCAGGGGCAAUGAGCUCCAUGGAGGACUACUACCAUCGUGCCACACUUGACUCGGAUGGGGUUUUCCGGCAAUAUCUGUAUCCCAAGAAGUUCAGCAACCUGUACAAUCAGGCAUGGUCAGUACUUGACUUCAAAGCCCCAAAUAUCUAUAUCCCAAGAAGGUGAGCAGCAGAGACAAAUGAUGGCAGCGUAGCAUGCGGCUUCAACAGUUAUAACAAUUUGGCUGUUUCAAAUAACCAAACCACCUGCGUCUGCCUACCACAUUACUCUUUUAUUGAUGAGCAGAGUAAAGAUAAAGGCUGCAAACCAGACUUCCAGCCACCAAGUUGUGACUUGGAUGAAGCAGGUGCCAGAAAGCUGUAUACCUUCAAAAUGAUGAGCCAUGUGGAUUGGCCUGGAGGUGACUACAAGCAACUCCCCAACAUAUCUAAUAGCCUGUGCCAGCAGCUCUGCCUGACAGAUUGUUUCUGUUAUGUUGCUGUAUUUCGUGAUAGUGACAAUACAUGUUGGACGAAGAAGAUGCCUUUGACAAAUGGUGUUGUAGGGGAUAGUGUGCAGAGGACAGUUUUCAUCAAGGUACCAACGAACAAUAGUCCACAAUCUGAACUUCUUGAUUCCAACAGAUGGAAGAAAGACAAGAACUACUGGAUCCUUGGAAGUUUGUUGUUGCUAGGAAGCUCUGUUUUGGUGAACAUUCUCCUGAUCUCUAUUAUACUUUUUGGUACUUACUGUACCAUCACCAAAAAUGAAGUCCUAUCUCUGCAGUCACCAAACAACAUAGGAUUGCCCCUGAAAGCCUUCACUUAUGUUGAGCUGGAGACAGCAACCAACGGUUUCCAGGAGAUACUUGGCACUGGUGCCUCUGGUAUUGUGUACAAGGGCCAGCUACAAGAUGAUCUAGGUACCUACAUAGCUGUCAAGAAAAUUGACAGGUUUGAGCACGAAACAGAGAAGGAGUUCACCGUUGAAGUCCAAACUAUUGGUCAGACGCACCACAGGAACUUGGUCAGGUUGCUUGGCUUCUGUAAUGAAGGAAAAGAAAAACUAUUGGUAUACGAAUUCAUGGUCAACGGCUCACUCGACAGAUUCCUAUUUGGUGAUCUCAGGCUUCAAUGGAACCUUCGAGCUCAGCUUGCUCUCGAGGUGGCAAGAGGGCUGCUGUACUUACAUGAGGAAUGCAGCUCACAGAUUAUCCAUUGUGAUAUAAAACCCCAGAACAUCCUUCUCGAUGGCAAUUUCACAGCAAAGAUCUCAGACUUUGGCUUAGCCAAACUGCUCCGUACUAAUCAAACACAAACAAAUACAGGGAUCCGUGGUACCCGAGGAUAUGUUGCCCCUGAGUGGUUCAAGAGCAUUGGUAUCACUGCCAAGGUUGAUGUUUACAGCUAUGGGGUCAUUCUGUUGGAGCUCAUCUGUUGCCGGCGAAAUGUUGAGUCCAUGGUGGCAGAAGAGGAUCAAAAAAUCCUGACUUACUGGGCAAAUGACUGCUACAGAUGCGACAGAGUUGAUAUUCUGGUGGAGGGUGAUGACGAAGCAAUUUUUGAUUUGAAGAAGGUAGAAAGGUAUGUGGUUGUAGCAUUGUGGUGUCUCCAGGAGGACCCAACUACGAGACCAACAAUGCUGAAGGUGACACAAAUGCUUGAUGGAGCAGUUUCUAUCCCCUCUCCUCCUGAUUAUUCUUCGUUUGUCCAAUCGCUUCCAUAGGGUAGCUCAUACACAUUGUAACAUUAAUAUAUGUAAUAUGUAUGAACCAACAUAGAGCUGUAAGAAACUUGAUAUAGCUAUAUAUACUGAAUGUUGUUCUUGUUAGGGGAAUAUAUACUGAAUGUUUCUGUUGCUGGUACGCUAUGUGGCUACUGAUAUAGCAGUAUUGUUUAAGCUGCUUACAAUUGUAUCAAUGGUAUCUUCAUUC